GACGAACGCUGGCGGCGUGCUUAACACAUGCAAGUCGAACGAGAGCGUAGAGAAAGCUUGCUUUUUCUACAAUCUAGUGGCAAACGGGUGAGUAACGCGUAAACAACCUGCCCUACGGAUGGGGACAACAGCUGGAAACGGCUGCUAAUACCGAAUACGUUCCGAAAGUCGCAUGACUAUCGGAAGAAAGGAUGGCCUCUAUUUAUAAGCUAUCGCCGGAGGAGGGGUUUGCGUCUGAUUAGCUAGUUGGAGGGGUAACGGCCCACCAAGGCGACGAUCAGUAGCCGGUCUGGGAGGAUGAACGGCCACAUUGGAACUGAGACACGGUCCAGACUCCUACGGGAGGCAGCAGUGGGGAAUCUUCCGAAAUGGGCGAAAGCCGGACGGAGCAACGCCGCGUGAGUGAAGACGGCCUUCGGGUUGUAAAGCUCUGUUAUACGGGACGAAUAAUCUUGUGGUUAAUACCCAUGAGAAGUGACGGUACCGUAAGAGAAAGCCACGGCUAACUACGUG
rnacentral:rRNA from 1 species